GCGACGAAGGAAUGUGAAAGGCUCCCGCCCGCCGCCAUUUUCUUUCUUUCUUGGCAAGCAGGGAGCGCGGUAGGAAGCGGUGAAGCGGACAUGGCGGAUUAUUCUACGGUACCCCCUCCUUCUUCGGGCGCGCCCGGGGGAGGCGGAGGAGGUGGCGGGGGAGUCAAUGACGCUUUUAAGGACGCGCUGCAACGGGCUAGGCAGAUUGCAGCAAAAAUUGGAGGUGAAUCAGGGACAUCGGUGAAUUCAAAUGAUUACGGUUAUGGGGGACAGAAAAGACCUCUUGAAGAUGGAGAUGGCUCUUGGACAAGUCCGAGCAGUACAACACACUGGGAGGGAAUGCCCUCUCCUUUUAAAGAUCAACCUGAGCCUAAGAAAGUUGCUCCUCCAAAUAAUGACUCUUUUGGAAGUCAGUUACCACCCAUGCAUCAACAACAGAGGUCUGUAAUGACAGAAGAAUAUAAAGUUCCCGAUGGCAUGGUUGGAUUCAUAAUUGGUAGAGGAGGAGAACAGAUCUCUCGUAUACAGCAAGAAUCUGGAUGCAAAAUACAGAUCGCACCUGAUAGUGGUGGUCUUCCUGAAAGAUCUUGCAUGUUAACUGGGACACCAGAAUCAGUACAGUCUGCAAAGCGGUUACUUGACCAGAUAGUUGAAAAAGGAAGACCCACGCCAGGAUUCCAUCAUGGUGAUGGUCCAGGAAAUGCAGUCCAGGAAAUUAUGAUUCCAGCUAGUAAAGCAGGAUUAGUUAUUGGGAAAGGUGGAGAGACAAUAAAACAGCUUCAGGAACGAGCAGGAGUUAAGAUGGUAAUGAUUCAGGAUGGUCCACAGAACACUGGAGCAGACAAACCUCUUAGGAUCACAGGAGACCCUUACAAAGUUCAACAAGCAAAGGAAAUGGUUUUAGACCUCAUUCGUGAUCAAGGUGGUUUCAGAGAAGUACGCAAUGAAUAUGGGUCAAGAAUAGGAGGAAACGAAGGACUAGAUGUCCCAAUACCACGAUUUGCUGUUGGCAUUGUAAUUGGAAGAAAUGGAGAAAUGAUUAAAAAGAUACAGAAUGAUGCUGGUGUGAGAAUCCAGUUUAAACCAGAUGAUGGAACAACUCCAGACAGGAUAGCACAAAUCACUGGACCUCCAGACAGAUGUCAACAUGCAGCAGAAAUUAUUACAGAUCUUCUUAGAAGUGUUCAGGCUGGGAAUCCUGGUGGUCCAGGGCCUGGUGGUCGUGGAAGAGGUAGAGGUCAAGGAAACUGGAAUAUGGGACCUCCUGGUGGACUGCAAGAAUUUAAUUUUAUUGUACCCACUGGAAAAACUGGAUUAAUUAUUGGGAAAGGUGGUGAAACUAUCAAGAGUAUCAGCCAACAAUCUGGUGCUAGAAUAGAACUUCAGAGAAACCCUCCACCAAAUGCAGAUCCCAACAUGAAAUUGUUCACUAUCAGGGGAACACCACAGCAGAUUGAUUACGCUCGGCAGCUUAUAGAAGAAAAGAUUGGUGGUCCAGUGAAUCCUUUGGGUCCUCCUGUACCACAUGGCCCUCAUGGAGUUGUUCCUGGCCCACAUGGGCCCCCUGGCCCUCCUCCUGGGGCCCCUAUGGGACCCUACAAUCCUGCUCCUUAUACACCUGGUCCUCCUGGUCCUGCACCUCACGGCCCUCCAGCACCAUACGCUCCACAAGGCUGGGGUAAUGCCUAUCCACACUGGCAGCCACCAAAUCCACCAGAUCCAGGUAAGCCUACAGAUCCUAAUUCAGCAGCAUGGGCAGCCUAUUAUGCUCACUACUAUCAGCAGCAAGCGCAGCCACCACCAGCAGCCCCACCUAGUGCACCACCAGCCACCCAGACCAAUGGACAAGGAGAUCAACCAAACCCAGCACCAGCAGGGCAAGUAGAUUACACCAAGGCAUGGGAAGAGUACUAUAAAAAAAUGGGUCAACAAGGGCAGCCACAAGAUUAUUCAAAGGCUUGGGAGGAAUAUUACAAGAAGCAAGGUCAGGCAGUUCCAGCUCCAGCAGGGGCACCACCAGCAGGUCAGCCUGAUUAUAGUGCAGCAUGGGCUGAAUACUAUAGACAGCAGGCAGCCUAUUAUGCCCAGACAAGUCCACAAGGAAUGCCACAACAUCCUCCAGCACCACAGUGCAGGUUUGAUCCAGCCAGUAUAGAGCUAGCUCUGUAGGGGUGAGGAGGACUGUGCUGUGUAUCAUCUUUGAUUGUUCCUUCAAGGAGCAUUGCACUGUAAGUACAUCAGAAUGACAAAAUGAUGAACUGCAACAGUAUCUUUUUGUCAGUGUUCCACAUAAUGCAAAUGCCAUACUUGUGUGAAUAUUAUGUUGGAAUAAAAUACAGUGCUGAUAUCUUAGAAAAUCAUAACUGCUUCUUAAUUCAGAAACUUAGGUGUGCAUAUAUAUGUAUCUGUAUGUGAGCUUUAUGGGUAAGUAUUGCUGAGACAUUUAGUUUUAGCUAAAUUGUCAUGUACUAAGUAACAUUUUUCACUAGGGGGUUCAGAAAUGAGAUAUAUAUUCAGAUAUAAACUUGUGCAUUGUUAACAAAGUUUAAAAUGCGAAGGAGGAAGUGUUGUCUUCAGUUUGUCUGCGUAUAUUUGGUGAUAUAGGUAUAUGUUAAUAACCUGUAUUAGCCUUAUCUUUGGAAACUGUUUUGUUGGGGUUCUUCUUGAGAAUACUUGGAGCAGUUGCUAGAGAAGAAUGAAAUGAAGCUCAGAAAUGAAGUCGUUUACUGCACAGAUAGCUAGAAAUGCAUUUUGUUGUACUGUAGAAUCAGGAGGGAAUUUAUUUUUUAUCCCAAUUUACGUUAGGAUUUAACAUAGACAUUUUGAAAAGAUUAUUAGGAAAUUAUUAAAAAUAUGUAGAGUAGGCUGUAAAGGCUCUAGAGCAACUACUUUGCAUGAUUCGUCUGUAGCUUAUUGGAGAAUGGUGUAGCUACUAACUAAACAGAACAAAAAAAUUCACCAGAUUCUUUAUCAUUCACCAAAUGGAGGCUGUUGAUUUUGAUUCAUUUAAAGUAUAAAAUCUUUAUUAAUUGCAAACAGUGCAAUUAUUUAUACUUCACAGUGCCUUCCCAGACCUUCCACCUUAGGUUCUGCUGCAAAAAGCACAGUGCUGAAGAUGCUGCAAGCACCAAAUCAUAGCUCAUAAAAUCAGGUCCUGAGAUAGUUACUUCCAAUAAAGAGGAUUCCUUUGAGUGUAUGGCCAUGGUGAGCCGAUGAGCAUGGACCAUAGAAGGGCUCCAUGUAGAAGGUAAAAUUGGCAAAAUACCGAUUUUAAAUGUAUCCCAUACUUAAUGGUGUAGGGUAUAAUUUGCCUGUUUUAAUCGCUUCUCAUUCUUUAAAGUGCUAUUUGCCUGACCAUAAAUGUUACGUAAUUUGUUAUGUGGUAAUAAUACAAGCCAUCUAUCAAUUUACACGUUGCUAAAUAGUCAAGCAUAGAUAUGUUUUGCAUUUCACAACUAAAUUAAUAGUUGUACUUGAAUACCCUCAAGCCACUUCAUUUUUUUUGUUGUAGUUCAACAUGUCAGAUUUCAUUUUUAUUGGGAACUAGGCUUGUGUUGUGCUGUUGAGCUGCUAAAGCGCUUCAUCUGGGUUGGAUUUCAUUUCCCCAUUUGGUAACAGAGUUUUAUUUUUGCCGUUCCAUUUUUAUAAACACAGCUUAAAUUGUAGUAAAAUUCAGGGCAAGAUUGAAACAGAAAAUAUUGGUAUUUCUGGCAUAGGAGGUGAUUUAAGCAUCUAAGCGUUCUUUUGGUGUGUUUUUUUUUCUUUUCAUCUUGCUAGUGGAACUUCAGGCAUCUUCUGACAUGAUGUAGUUUUGCUGUUCAGUUUCAGGCUCUGAUCUCUUUCAGAAACAUUAGUUUUUCUUGAGUAGUUGUGAUUUGGCAGAAAAGAUAAAUGCAAAUUAUAAAUAUAGAAUAUUAGAGUACUAUGACUAGAAUUAGAUGUAAGAGUAAUGCAUGCUUUUAAAGGCAAUGACGAACAUCUUUAAAUUUCAACUGAGUGAUGUUUACAGAUCACUGUUUAGUGUGAGUUCUGUAUAGUCAAGUUUUGCUGAUGUAAAAAUAAUUUCUUAUAUAGAUCUAUUGUGUAAAUUCCACUUAAGUGAUUUUAGGGUCUAGGUCAGCUGUAUUGCUUACUAAUCACCCUCUUUCCACAAAAUAUUUUGAGCAACUGGGCAGUUUCUUUUCAGAAAGUUUAAGAGUGUAGAGCAUCUAGGUCUUUUUCUUAUACUAGCAUUUCAUAAAGCAAGACACCAGGCCUGCAUAAUGCAUACAACAGAUCCACUUUUCCUACUUGUAGUAUUCUAUAAAACGCUUACGUUUAUGCAACCUUUAUCUUAUAUGCAUGCAAGAUGCAUUUUCGUCCUGAGAUAGUGUUCUCUACAGAAACUACCCGUGUUUUUAAAAAAGAAGAAUGUCUUUAAAAGGCUACUGUGAUGGGAAGUAUCUUAGGGAGAUGCAGCUUGGACUUGAGGUAAAUCAAAUGCUUUACAGUAUGUUAUGUUGAACUUGCAAUAAGACAUUGUAUGUAUUCAUGAAUAUACCUUAAUUGUAAUGUUUUGUAUGAGUUCUCAAUAAAUGUAAACUAAUGGAAAAAUA